GAUGAACGCUGGCGGCGUGCUUAACACAUGCGAGUCGAACGAUGAUGCCCAGCUUGCUGGGUGGAUUAGUGGCGAACGGGUGAGUAACACGUGAGUAACCUGCCCUUGACUCUGGGAUAAGCCUGGGAAACUGGGUCUAAUACCGGAUACGACCAUCUGGCGCAUGUCAUGGUGGUGGAAAGCUUUUGUGGUUUUGGAUGGACUCGCGGCCUAUCAGCUUGUUGGUGGGGUAAUGGCCUACCAAGGCGACGACGGGUAGCCGGCCUGAGAGGGUGACCGGCCACACUGGGACUGAGACACGGCCCAGACUCCUACGGGAGGCAGCAGUGGGGAAUAUUGCACAAUGGGCGCAAGCCUGAUGCAGCGACGCCGCGUGAGGGAUGACGGCCUUCGGGUUGUAAACCUCUUUCAGUAGGGAAGAAGCGAAAGUGACGGUACCUGCAGAAGAAGCGCCGGCUAACUACGUG
rnacentral:rRNA from 1 species